rnacentral:rRNA from 1 species
UGAGGAAUAUUGGACAAUGGAGGCAACUCUGAUCCGGCCAUGCCGCGUGAAGGACUAAGGCCCUAUGGGCUGUAAACUUCUUUAGACGCAGAGCAAUAAGGGCCACGUGUGGUCCGAUGAGAGUAUGCGUAGAAUAAGCAUCGGCUAACUCCGUGCCAGCAGCCGCGGUAAUACGGAAGGUCCGGGCGUUAUCCGGAUUUAUUGGGUUUAAAGGGAGCGUAGGCCGCCUGGUAAGCGUGUUGUGAAAUGUCGUUGCUCAACAACGUCACUGCAGCGCGAACUGCCGGGCUUGAGUGUGCGGAAAGCGGGCGGAAUUUGUGGUGUAGCGGUGAAAUGCUUAGAUAUCACGAAGAACUCCGAUUGCGAAGGCAGCUCGCUGUAGCAUUACUGACGCUGAAGCUCGAAGGUGCGGGUAUCGAACAGGAUUAGAUACCCUGGUAGU